UGAGAGCAGAGUAAUAAUGAUAAGGCUAAGAGGGAAACUAAAUCUUUUACACCUUCUUCUUUUUCUUCUUCUGUAUUUCCGGUAGAUCAUGUGACACUGCAUACUCUACUUUCCUUCCACCUACUCCCCGUAACAGAUCCACUCUAGUUUCCUUUCACUUACUUUCCGUUAGAGUCCCACACCGUAUAGUUUCACUAAAUGUUUAGUGUUUAUAAAGAAGCGAUCUGCAACCCUGCUCGUCCCUUCGGGGACAUCCGAUAAAAUUGGAACGAUACAGAGAAGAUUAGCAUGGCCCCUGCGCAAGGAUGACACGCACAAAUCGAGAAAUGGAUGAUUCUAGUAUUCAUUCAGAGACACUGUUUCACACAUGGUCCCAACAACCACGAUGAGUUCCAGAGACAACACCAUGUUUGGCACUUGAUGCAAAAUCUUUCUUGGCCAAACCUUGCAACAUCUUUCCUUUGAACUUUUCAUAAUCAAAAUAAAUAAACUCAUCAAAAGGGCAUCCCCAUUUGCCACCACAAACAUUAUUUUCAGAUUGCAAGCAAUAACAAACUAGCUAGACAGAAAGUGUUCACAAUGACAACAGCUAACAUAGUCCCACAUCGACAGAUUUAUGGAAAGAAGGUAUGUUUAUAAAGCCAACCCUCACAGACUUGGUCACGACCUUACUUGAACAGGAUCUGUUCUAUAGGCUCGUACCUCUGUAUCCUUAAGUUCUAAGGAGACAGGAACUGAAGUCUGGUGGAUGAACCAUGACCCUGUGAUCAGAGCGUGAUUAACGGUGUAGAUGGUCUUUGUCACUCCGGACUGGACUCACCUUCAACUGUAGAGGAUCGUUCUCAGUCGUUCACGACCUGGGAUGGUCGCAGGGUUGUCUGACAGACUCCCUCAUUCAAAUUU